AUGUGCGAUCAUACCAGCACUAAUGCACCGGAUCCCAUCAUAACUCUGCUGGUAAGCGUGCUUGGGAGAGAGUUGUACUAGGAUGGGUGACCUCCGAGGAAUAGGGUGGAAUUUCUUGUG
rnacentral:rRNA from 2 species